GUGAUCAGGUGGUGGCCCGACGCAGGUGUUUCUGGCGCCUGCGAUAAUGAACGAAGAUGAACGUUAUGAUUCAUUGUGUUGAUGAUGUGACCGAGAAAGAGCCUCUGCUCUGAUUCUGGUAACGCCGAGAUGGUUUCUGUGGAUGCUGGAGGCCUGAUGGAGGUUACGCCUGAUGGAGGUUGUCCCUGCAGUGGUCCUGCCGUACACCUGGCUUACUACUAAAUAUUUGAAUCAUUUCUGUCGUAGGAAUUGAACGUACUCUAAAUCUUUAAGUUGUUCAUUCUGUACACACUUUUUUUCUCUGCAGUUCUCCUUUUGGUUUCUCUCAUUUGAAGGUUUCUGUUUUUUCCAUUUGAGUUUUUCCUGUUCCAUGUUUCGGGACCAGAAGUUGCAUGUUUGCGGACUGUAAAGCUCUCUAAUGCUCAUUUGUAAUUUUGGGCUGUACAAAAAUAAAAUGAUUUGAUUUGAAUUAACACGUUGACCGGAGGAAUCAGCCAUAUCUGUAAUUGAGGGGUGUUCUGUGCAUUCUGACUCCCUUUACACAAAGAAUCAAGUGACCAUAAGGGCGAUGGAGCUGAUCUCACGUAUUCUAUCCCAAUUCGUGACUCAGAACCAGAUCUUGUUACAGGAUCGGAAAAUG
ensembl:lncRNA